UCUAAUAUGGCAGAUUAGUGCAAUGGAUUUAAGCUCCAUAUAUAAAGCCCAUAGCUUUUUUUAGAA
rnacentral:tRNA from 1 species